GAUGAACGCUGACAGAAUGCUUUACACAUGCAAGUCGAUGGGGAAGUGGUGCUUGCACCAUGGCAACCAUGGCGGACGGGUGAGUAACGCGUAAGGGACUUACCUGCAGGACUGGGAUAACAGGGGGAAACUCCUGACAAGACCGGAUAAUGUCAUGGAGCUGCAUGGCUUUAUGAUGAAAGGAGACGCCUGCGGAGAGCCUUGCGUCCUAUUAGCUAGUUGGUGAGGUAAUGGCUCACCAAGGCGAAGAUAGGUAGCCGGCCUGAGAGGGUGGACGGCCACAAGGGGACUGAGAUACGGCCCUUACUCCUACGGGAGGCAGCAGUGGGGAAUAUUGGACAAUGGGGGCAACCCUGAUCCAGCAAUUCUGUGUGCACGAAGAAGGUUUUCGGAUUGUAAAGUGCUUUCAGCAGGGAAGAAGUAAGUGACGGUACCUGCAGAAGAAGCGACGGCUAAAUACGUG
rnacentral:rRNA from 1 species